rnacentral:tRNA from 1 species
GUCGAGUUGCCAGAGUGGUUAAUGGGUAUGACUCGAAUAAUGAGACCAAUUAUGAAAUCAUAUGGCUUCGGCCGCGCAGGUUCAAAUCCUGCACUCGACG